UAAAAUAAAUAUGCAAAUAUU
rnacentral:piRNA from 1 species